CAAUAAAGCGAUUUCAUUAUCAAGGAUGGGAAGCGUUCAACAAGGAAAUCGAAUUGCUAUGCCAGCUUCGUCACCCUAGAUGUGUUUCUCUUAUAGGAUUCUGCAACCACCAAAAUGAGAAGAUUCUUGUAUACGAGUACAUGUCCAAUGGAUCUCUAGAUAAACACCUUCAAGAUGGUGAACUAUCAUGGAAGAAGAGGCUAGAGAUCUGCAUAGGAGUAGCACGUGGACUACACUACCUUCACACUGGUGCCAAGCGUUCCAUCUUUCACUGUAUCCUCGGUCCUAGUACCAUCCUUUUGGAUGACCAAAUGGAGCCAAAACUCGCUGGUUUCGGUGUUAGCAUGCAGGGAUCACGUUUUAUGUCAAAGCAGAAGCAAAUCAAUGUAGAUCGUGUUUUGGGUAAUUUUUGUUUUGUUGUAUGAGCUCACUCACUGCAAUGAAUUUUUGUGGAUCAAACUAAGCUAAUACUCUUUGUUAUAGGUACUUUUGGCUACCCGGCUACGGACUAUGUCAUGGAUGGUACCAUCACAGCUAAAUGGGAUGUUUUCUUAUUUGGUUUGCUUCUACUAAAAGUUGUGUGCAGGAGCAUAUUUUAUUUAAUAACCCUGACUGAAAAAGAAUGUCUGGAGAAUCCUGUUAAGGAGGGAAUUGAUCCGAUUAUCAAAGGAAAGAUUGCACCAGAUUGUUGGCAAGUGUUUGUAGAUGUGAUGGUAACUUGCUUGAAGUAUGACCCAGAUGAGAGACCAACAAUUGGUGAAGUGGAGGUUCAACUUGAGCAUGCAGGAACAAGCUGAUAUUACAAACUCCAACUCUGAGUAUACCUUACUGUCCAAAACCAUUAUUUCCAUGGGAGUGAAACAAUUUCAUACUGAAGAAAUGUAAGUGACCAGAUCACUGAAAUUGAGUUUAGUGUUUUUAGUCAAAACAGUUAGUAAUCUGAAAUUUGUUUAGAAUUUAGAUACUUGUGUAGCUUUUGCAGUGAUACAUGCAUCCAGCAUUUUCUAUUUUUAUGUCAUAGAAUUCAAUAAUAUGUUAUAAUUAUUAAAUGUUAUAAUAUCGAACAUGGGUUGUCAAAAUAGUUUUUUCGUUUUAACAGAGGCUGUCAUCAAUAAUCGUGUAUUAGUAACUAGUAAUGAUAAAAAUUCCUUCCUGUUUGAGACUUUAAACUGUUCUCUGUACUGUCUCUGUGUUAGCCUAGUUGGAAUUACGUGCCAAUAUUUUCCCCUUACACUAACUUUAAGUAUUAAAGUAGAAUAAUUGAAGUGGGGAGAGGAAGAAUAAUUGAAGAGAGAGAUAAUGGGGACAGAGGGAGAGAGAUGUUACAAAUAGUCUUAGAGAGAGAAAAACAAGCUCAAAUUGAUUUUAUGUAUUGAUUUGAUUCUCACAUGCUUGAUCUUUUUUAAGGCAUCUGGUCGAACCAACAUUAUUUACAGCUGAUCUUUUCAAUUUCAAAAAUCUUGAGUGAAAUUUAAUAACUAUAUUAACAACAGAAAAGUCAAUUUGUAACAUGUCCCAGUAGCAUACAUCUUAAACAUGUGUGACCAUUAAAUAAAGUACUUAAACACUUGUCUUUAGUUUUGAUUUUUUUAAUGGAUAAAAUGAUAUGUAUUUAAAAUAUUAACAGUCUUGGAAGUAGAGGUGAAAGAUGCUUCAAUUCAAGUAUGAACCUGAUAAAUGACCAACUAUGAGUGAAGUAGAGGUGGAACUUCAGCAUGAUCUGUAGCAGGAACAAACUAAUUUCACAAACACCAAUGCUGAUGAUUAUAAACCCUAAAAAAAAGCUUAUUGCUCAAAACCAUUAUUCUCCCAAAACUGGGAAUUUAAGCAUCCUCUCCUAUUGCACCAACAGGAUUGUUAUCUGUGAGAUUUCUACUAUUUAUUUCUAACAUUUGGUACCUUCCUUUUGAUUGGCCUUUUGAUGAGAUUCUGUAUAUUCUCCUUACUGUUUUACAUCAGUUUUUUUGUUGCUUAUAACGCCACUAUUGUAUGAAUCUAUACAGUAAGACAAGUUAUGUUAUUUAAGGUUUAAACAUUUUAAGAGUUAGAUGGCUGCUGUUUGACUCAACAUAAGCAUAAAGUAUUUAGUUGAUAAACAAUCGUGAAAUUUAUCUAAUGUUAUUAUAUGUAUCAAGAUGGACUUUCGUUGUUGGAUAAAAAUAAAAGUUUUAACAACUCACUUCCCUAUUCCCACAGAAAAGUAGUUAUUUUCUGUCUGAUUUGCAAACUCUACUUUGCAACAGGUUCAUCUAGUUUCUUCAAGCAGUCAAUAUAUCUGUCUCAACUAUUACUGAAGGGAACUUUGUUUUAGUUAGCUUUAAUUGUAUACUUUAGUUAGCCUUAAUAACAAAGAAGAAAGCAUAUUGUGAUAUGUUUUCCAAAUCUGCACAACAAAACAUAUUUCAUCAUAUGCAUUUGAUUUUUGGUUCACCAGAAUGCCAAGAUUUCACCUUAUACUAAUGUUCGGUCUGAAAAUUAAAAAGUCUGAACAAUAACUAUUUCUGUCAAGAUCCAAUUUAUCAUUUGAUUUAGUCACAUGCACAGAAAUAGGAAGAUUUGAAUAAAAAGAAAACAUGAAAUGAUUGCAGAAAUGGGCUCAGGGAGUUAAGUCAAAGAGAGUUCUAGGCGAUCCCAAAUAAGUUAACGCCCCUACGACACUUUGCAGGGACAACAAGCCAAAAAAUUGUAAUUAAACCAAAGCGAGUGACUACAAAAGGCAAGGGAGUUAACCAAAUCUAAACAAACACUUGUGAACAAAAGUUGUUAUAUAAAUAGAAUGCUUAUUGAAGGUUUAUUAAGAGUAUUUAGUAGUGUAUACAUUUGACUUUUGUAUUUGUAACCUACAUAGAGUUCUAAUAAUUAUUUUUAGUCUAUAAAAUAUCUUUGAACUUGGCAUCAAAAAGCUGCAAAACUUACAUUCAAAACCACAUUUUCACUUUGCCAUUCAUUUAACAUCUCCAACAUUUGUUAAAUGUUGGAGAUCAGUGUGAUCAGUGAUCAUUUGUAUAAUAUUAUACAAAUGGGUGAAGUAGAGGUGCUACUUGAGCAUGCCCUUGCAUUGCAGAAACAAGCAGAUAUCACAAACACCAAUACUGAUGAUUAUACUUUACUGUCCAAAACCAUUAUUCCCCAUCCUGCAACUAAAAUAUAGGUUUGUGUUUUGAAUCAAAAUAGUCAGAGUAAGCUUUUGCAGUGACUUUUAAUUUGAGAUACUUGUACCUUUUAUUGUGAUAUCACUUUCUAGCAUUUUAGUUUUACCAGAGACUGUCAUAGAAUCGUUGCAAUGAUCCUCUACUGGUGUAAAAUUGAAAGAAAUGCAGGAAAUUUAAUAAGAACAGAGUAAUGAUAAAACUCCCCUGAUGGAGUCUAUAUGAUUUGCUCUUCCUCUUGUAGAUGCCCUCACUUCCAAACUAACCACUGAUACAUGCAACACAAUCAUAUAGAUGAACUAUGCUACUAAAGAUUUAAUAAAACAUUUGGAGGGUUAGAUGAGUGGGAUGAGAUUCAACCUCAACACAAAAAUUAUUUAUUUGAUAAACCCAUCAUCAAUCUUAUCUAAUAUUGUUAAAAGCUAAAUUUUAAAAGCUCAUCCCCCCUGCCCUGCGAAAUGUGAUUAUGUUGGAACUGGAGACAAUCACAGAAGACAGUGAUAUUGAAGAAGUGGAACUGGAAAUCAUCACAGAAGACAGUGAUAGUGAAGAAAUGUAACGAAUUCACACCUAAUUUAAGCUGAAAUUAAGUUUAGUGUUUUUGAAUCAAAACAGUGACAUCUGCAGAGAUCAAGUUUAAUUGAGAUACCUGUACCUUUUAUUGUGAUCUCUGUUUCUAACAUUAUCAUCUUACCGGAAGCUGUCAUGGCAAUAAUCUGGUACUAGUAUAAAUUUGAAAGAAUUGCCAACAAAAUCAAUAAUGAUAGCACUCCCUUGCUUCAGUCUGUAAUUUUUGCUCUUCUUUUUCUAGGAACCCUCACCACAUAACCAGUCACUGAUAUAUAAAGCAAAAUCAUACAGAUUGCAGCAGAGUGUAGGGAACUCUCUAUAGAUACCAUGAUAAAUUGCUUUUAAGUACGGAUCGGAUAAGCCACCAACAGUAUGUCAAGUAGAGGUGCAACUUGACCAAUUGUGAUUAUACUUUAUUGUCCAUAACCGUUACCUGAAAAAGUGUACAACUGGGUACAAUGAAGGGGUAAAAACGGCAAUCAAAGAAAUAGUAUUUUGACUGAUACCUUUAAUUUUUCCCUUGCCAUUAUUAGAGUAGAUGAAUCUACCAAACCAUAUCUAGGACCAUAUUGGAUGAAUUUCUGUAUAAAUAUUUCUAGAAAAAAAAAAUCUUUGAACUAGCAGUAGUUUUUUCACAUCUUGACUAAGUCAGAGUUUUAUAUGCAGGCCUUGGAUCUUAUUUGGGGAAGAUUCCAACCCAACCUUAAUAUGCUUCACAAGCCAAACAAUUGAGGAGCAACAUAGUUCAAUGUGUAUGGUAAGUGACAAGUGAGAUCUACUUAAGCAAGCAAGGUGUCACAAAUUGGAACUAUGUUUCUGAAUUGUUUGGGCAUGUGUUGUUCGAAGCCCACAACAAAUACAACUUCAUCUCAGAGACAGUUUCCAACGUUGAUAGAAGAGCUGUGCCAUCAAUUUUCUCUCACCGAUCUUAGGAAAGCCACCAAUAACUUUGAUCAGAAGAGAGUAAUAGGAAGUGGAAUAUUUAGUGAAGUAUACAAAGGGUGUCUGCAGCAUGAUGGUGCUUCUGAUUACCCGGUCGCAAUAAAGCGAUUUCAUUAUCAAGGAUGGGAAGCGUUCAACAAGGAAAUCGAAUUGCUAUGCCAGCUUCGUCACCCUAGAUGUGUUUCUCUUAUAGGAUUCUGCAACCACCAAAAUGAGAAGAUUCUUGUAUACGAGUACAUGUCCAAUGGAUCUCUAGAUAAACACCUACAUGAUGGUGAACUAUCAUGGAAGAAGAGGCUAGAGAUCUGCAUAGGAGUAGCACGUGGACUACACUACCUUCACACUGGUGCCAAGCGUUCCAUCUUUCACUGUAUCCUCGGUCCUAGUACCAUCCUUUUGGAUGACCACAUGGAGCCAAAACUCGCUGGUUUCGGUGUUAGCGUGCAGGGAUCACGUUUUAUGUCAAAGCAGAAGCAAAUCAAUGU
rnacentral:lncRNA from 1 species